rnacentral:rRNA from 1 species
GUUUGAUCCUGGCUCAGGACGAACGCUGGCGGCGUGCCUAAUGCAUGCAAGUCGGACGAUCGAGAUAGCCCGUUCGGGGCUUUCAAGAAAGUGGCAGACGGCUGAGUAACGCGUGAAUAACUUGCCCUUUGGUGGGGGACAACCCCGAGAAAUCGGGGCUAAUACCGCACAAGUUCUCCAGGUCCUGAUCUGGAGAGGAAAGCCGCAAGGCGCCAGAGGAGAGGUUCGCGUCCUAUCAGGUUGUUGGUGGGGUAAUGGCCUACCAAGCCGAUGACGGGUAACUGGUCUGAGAGGACGACCAGUCAGAGGGGAACUGAGAACGGUCCCCACUCCUACGGGAGGCAGCAGCAGGGAAUUUUGGGCAAUGGGCGAAAGCCUGACCCAGCGACGCCGCGUGGGGGAGGAAGGCCUUCGGGUCGUAAACCCCUUUUCCGGGGGAAGAGAUAGGACGGUACCCCGGGAAUAAGCCCCGGCUAACUACGUGCCAGCAGCCGCGGUAAUACGUAGGGGGCGAGCGUUGUCCGGAUUUACUGGGCGUAAAGGGCGUGUAGGCGGGCUGGGCAAGUCUUCUGUGAAAUCUCCCGGCUCAACCGGGAGGGGUCAGAGGAUACUGCUCAGCUUGAGGGCAGUAGAGGAGGGUGGAAUUCCCGAUGUAGCGGUGACAUGCGUAGAUAUCGGGAGGAACACCAGUGGCGAAGGCGGCCCUCUGGGCUGUUCCUGACGCUGAGGCGCUAAAGCAUGGGUAGCAAACCGGAUUAGAUACCCGGGUAGUCCAUGCCAUAAACGAUGGAUGCUAGGUAUGGGGGGUAUCGACCCCCUCCGUGCCGUAGUUAACGCGUUAAGCAUCCCGCCUGGGGAGUACGGCCGCAAGGCUAAAACUCAAAGGAAUUGACGGG